CUUUGCAAAAAACUGAUUUGUCAAAAAAAUAUUUGAAAUUGUAUACAAAAAUUUUCGAAAAUUUAAAGAAAUUUUAAAGGAAUUAUUUUCCACAUUUUUAAACAAAAUUUCAAAUAAAUUCAUUAAUGCCCUUUGCAAAAACUGAUUUUGAAAAAAAAAAAAAUAUUUGAAAUAGAUAAAAAUGUGUUUGUUCAAAGAUUUUAGCUAAAAUUGGUUAAGUGGUUAACGAGAAAGUCAGAAAUCAAAUGUCCAUUUGAAAUUAAGAAAAUCGAAGAAUUUGCAAAUACGGUACAAGAGUGGGCCAAAUAACAAUAUAUGGGACACAUAGACAUCCGGGGUUUCCGAAAAAAUAAACCGAGACAGACUAUUAAAGUACGGGACAGUGCCGGGAAAUCCGGGACGGAUAUGGUCACCGUAUCCAUAAGGCAAGAUGAGUUUAGUGUCAAAAAAAGUACAAAAAGUGGAUUUCACCAAAGUUGACUUAAAGAAAAAAUGGAAGUACCUAUAUUGAGGAAAAUUGAAUUACAGAUGGCAAGAUGUCGAAGUGUGACAGUGCGAGUACAAGUUUCAAGUCGUGUGGGUACAAAAAUGGGGACUUUUGUUUGAAAAGAAUUAAACACUGUUGUUUGUUUAAUUCUCUUUCAACAAAAGUAUCUAUUUUCGAGGAAAACCAGUGUCAAAUCAUACAAUUAUUUUUCAGGGUGUUGCUUCAAAUAAAAUGAACAGAGAGUGCAUCAAAGCUGCCAAAUUCCGCGAGCCCUUUGGCCUAUCAGCAUAUUUCGUUCGAACCAUUACUUUUGAGACAU